GCGGGCUCGGCGGGAGGAAGGAGAAAGAAGAGGAGGCGGUGGUGGAGGAGGAGCAGGGCACACAAACCAGGGCACUUCAGUUGUCUCAUGUUUCCUUCUGUUGAGAGUUCACACUUCGCUUCGGAACUUUUGCGCACAAAUGGUGCAAUUAGCAGGCACAAAAGCCCUUGUUCGCGACGCCUGGGCGCGCAAGCUAGCUUUAGGGAAACUUGUGCUGACUUUUUCCCUUUUAUUCCCUUUAAACUCAUUUGGACUGGAGUUCACGUUAACCCCACCCCCCACCCCCCUUAGGCAGUGUGUGGCAUUUGUUUGCCAGCUUAAAAAGCCCAGCUCUGUUUACUCUGAUGUUCUUUUAGCCGAGGCUGUGUUGGGGCUGGUGAACUGCCCGGGCUUUAGUGACCGAUGAGGUGUUAAAUGCUAAUCCAACAUCUUUUGAACAAACCAGGAUUUUGUUGAAACAUUUUUAAGCAAGCAAACAAACAAAUGCUUGGUUGUCCAGAGAAUAGAAAGCAAGCUUUUUCUUUAAAAAGAGCGUUUUAAUUAAUUAAUUUUUUUAAACAGUGGAGACUGCAGGAACAAAUUCGUUGGGCAGUCCGUUGCUUUUAUUCCUCUCCGGGGGCGUGGGGUGUUAUGAACCAUUGUUACGGGGAUCCAAAUCCCCCGCCCCCGCCCACUGCGCCCUGGGUGGGGUGGGGGCGGGUAGCGCUCGUUAAUCAUUUCUGAGCAACCUAGCUCAGCUUCCGACACAGGAGCCCGCCUGGAAGGGCCGCCUGGGCGAGGUGCACCAAGGGCACGCGGAGCCCGGCUGUCUGUCCCCACCAUCCGCAAAGCCUGGGGAAGUCCUCCCGCAAGGCCUGCAGGCUGCGGGGGCUCUGGAGGGCUCGGCGAUUGGUUACUGUAGACCGAGGCAUGUCAAAAGGGAGACUCCUUCCCGCCCCCGACUUCCCGCACAGGGUCACCCCCUUCCCUGCCCGGGCACCCCCUCCCCUGCGAGUCGCCGGGCCCUCGCGGAGCACCGCCCGCUCCUACGCGUUGCGCUCCUCGUUAGCACCCGCCGCCUCCGCCUCCUCGUUCAGCGGGCGCAGGGCGUCCGGCGACACCGAGGACCGGUGCAGGGCCGAUGCGGGACUUCGAGCUCCGGAGAGGCCUGGGGUGGGUGUGGGGCGAGGAGAAGUGCCUGCCGGGAGCCCCUGCUCCCGAGGAGAGCUGGGAGUCCUGGGGAAAGUGUCUGCCGCGCUGCAGAGCCAGCAGGUGCCUUGAAAAGACAGCAACUUAUGUCAGACCGGUAGGCACCGUGGAACCCAAGAGGCCCAAAGGACUGACAAUAGGAAACCAAGUAAAGAGUACGUUCCACCAUCCUGGGAAACACUGCUGACUCCCUGGCCACCUCCUGGGCACUCUCCACCAGCGCUAGCAAGACUGUGUGGCUAUGGAAAGACCAUGAUGCUCUCACCUGCAAGCCGAGACCCAGGAAGACAUGCAUGUCUUUGACUCAAAGCAAGGUCUGAAAACUCGCUGAGGACAAGAACCUUGUCUGAGGUGCUUCCCACAGAAGACUGUACGUAGUAGAUGGACAGGGAGCAAGGUGGAAGCAAGAAGAUCAGUCAUGAGGCUAUUUCAACAGUCCAGGCAAGAUGUUCCGGUGGUUCAGACUAGAAUGGUGGUGACAAAUGGUGUGGUACUAGAUAUAUUCUGAAAGUGUGACCAACAAGAUUUGCUGAAGGUUUGGAUGGAUAGCGUGAGGGACCAAGAGAGAUCAAGGAAGAUUCCAAGGUUUAUGGCCCUAGUUAGAGCUGCUGUUGACUGAGAUAGGGACAUCUGUAGAAGGAGCAGUUGAGAAGGGGGAAGGCCAGGGUUUCAGUCUUGGAUGUAUUGUAUUUGCAACGUCAAGGAGCGGUUGGAUCUGGAGUUGGGGGUGGAGCGCAGGUGAGAGAAGGAGCCUAGGCUGGAGAGUUACAUCUGGGAGUUUGUUAACUCCCAGAGACUGAAUGAGAUCACCAAAAGACUGCCUGUAAACAGCAAAGAAGUGUCCACGCUCUGGAACCCUCUAGAGUUAAGUGCAUGGAGAUAGGAGGAGCCAGAAAGGGAUGCUGAGAAGGAUCCAGUGAAGGAGAAGGACAACCAGGAGCUCAUGGUGCUCUGCAGGCUCAUGAAAAAAAACUCAUUCAAGGAAGAGGGAUUCAUGAUCAGUGUCAACUGCUGUGGAUUGGUUAGGAAGCAAGUGUUAAGAAGAUGAACACGUAUUACUUAAGGACAAGGAAAUAAGGCAAGAAAGAAGACUUAAAUAUGCAUGAACUUCCACUUGGCAACAUCACUUCCAAGAACUUUUCUUAAGGAAAUAAUUAAAAAACUUUGCCAGGAUGUUCUCUGGCAGGAUUAUUUGUAAGAGCAAGAAGUUAGAAACAAUCUAAGAGCCUCGCAGUGGCAGAUCUGUUACAGUUAACCAGCUUAUUAAGCAGUGCUGACUUUCAAACAUAGGCAUUGAUAUUGAAAGCUAUUGACUAUACAUUGAGAAGAAAAACAAAGUUCCCAUGUUUGUAAAAAUUAUAUGUUUAUUUGUAGAUAUCUAUCUAUAUGUAUCUACAUGUGUGAAAUUGGUAAUCCAUGCCAAAUUGGAUCACGGAUUGCUGACACUUUUUGUCGACUAUAUUUUCUUAUUUUUCCAUAAUAAGCAGAAUGAGAAACUUGUCAUGAGAAAGCAACAACACAAGAACUUGCUCAAUGUAUCUGUGCUGUGUGGCACCUUUCGAUUUUUUGGUGACUCUCAGGAGGUCCUGGGCCUCUUUGCCUUGGGUCCCUCCACAUCAUUCAGGACCCUCUUGCUUGAUCUAACUCAAAUGUCGCCUGUAUAAUCCUGCUGUAUGUCAGCAAGUCUCCUUCAGACCACGUCUGUAAGAUGCUGGUUGAUAUCCACAGCAACAGAGAGGGAGGUGUCCAAAGCUAUGAGUCACGCCUGCCUGCUUGCUAAUAUGUGUACAUAUGUCCAGCCAUUUUGCCCGAGACUUGCUUGAAUUGUGACACACUAACUGGUUUGGAUCAAGUAAUGCCCACUAGCCUGUUACAAGAAACUGCUGAAAUUUCUCAGGAAGAGCCUCAUGAUCAUCCAUUGGCCAGAUUGGUUUAAGCCAUUUGUUACAAAUAAAAAUAAUCAUAUUACUUGAUAUGUAUAAGGGACAUUGUCUCAGUAGUAUAUGAGGUGGGUAUAGAAGCAUAUUUAGAGAAUAAUACUUCCAUUAAUCUGUUGUACGUAAUCUAAGUUUUAAAAAGUGUGCUGCCUGUACCUUGAAGACAACCCUUAGCCAUCCCUCUUUUAACCAGAUUGCUGCUCCAAGCCCCUGCUAUCUAGGGAUUCUGGUGCAGCCCCGACCCCCAGGGGACUCUGGAUGUCCUUUAGAAGUCCAUCUGCCUUGUUUCCGCAAUGUGCCACUUAUAUUUGAAACAGCUGCUCCACAAUUGGAAUUUCCAGCCCCAAAUUGGCAUUUCUCUGAACCAUUUGCAACUUAUGCACUAUUAAUGUUUGGAUUACACUGGAUAACUUUGGAGGUUAAAAUUGAUUCAUGCAAAUAGAUGACUGAGUAAGCAAUAGAAACAUGACCUAGAAUAAUCUCAUGGUUUGCUAUUGCAUAAACAUGUUUUAUAAUCUGUUUAAGAGCAAACUUGAUACUUCCUGAACGUGCCAACCAUAACACACACUUUUCUGUUAGACAAGAGAAAAAGAAAAACCAGGUUUUUCUUCUCAUUCAUAAUCAAGGAAAUUAUUAAACUAAGAAAAUCUGGUUGUCCUUAGUAAAUAUACUUUCUUGUGCUUUUCCUUUCAUUCUGUAUUCUUUUCUUAUCUUCUUGUGCAGGACUGGAACAAAGGCAACACUCAUAGUUGCAAUGGUAGCAUUUGACCUCAGGUUUAUUAUUUUAAAUACACCUGCCUGAAAAUGACCAGAAAUCAAAAUAAGCAUCGCCAAUAAUGGGAUGGAUUGACACUAUAUGUCCCUUGGUGUGAGACACUAAGAGAAACACAGCCUCACUUCCAUGCUAUUCCUGGCAAAAUGCAAAUAGUACUGAUCAUAAGGAAACAUAAUAGAAACCCAAAUUGAGGGAGAUUCUACAAAACAACUGGUGUGAAAUCUUCAAAAAUAUAGAGGUCAUAAAAGACAAGGACAGAUUGAAGAAUUAUUUCAGAUUGAAGAAGAUGAAAGAGACAUCCAAAGUGAAGGUGACACAUUAUCCUGGACUGCAACCAGAAAUAGAAGAAAAAAAAUUGGGAUGCAGUAUGUAUUAGAAAAAAAAGUGGCAUGCAGUAUGUAUUAGAAUAAUAAGUGAAAUGUGAAUGGUGUGAAUGGAUUACAUGGUAGUACUGUAUAACUGUCAACUUCCUGCCCUUGAUGGCUGAAUUGUGGUUAUUAUGUGGGAGAAUGUCCUUGUCUUUUAGGAAGUUCACAUUGACACUUCCAGUGAAACUGGGGCAUCACGUCUGCAACUUUCAAUUAUUUCAGGAAAAUAGCUAGCUAGCUAGCUAGACAGAUAGAUAAAGAUAGAUACAUAGAUAGAUAAUAAUAAAGCGAAAGUAUCAAAAUGUUAGGAAUUAAGGACUUUGGGUAAAAGGUAUAUGGCAGUUCUUUUUAUUAUUCUUUCAACUUUUCUGUGUCUAAAAUUAUUUCAAAAUAAAAAGUAAAAAAAAAAAGAGAAAGAGAGAGAAACAUUAAAGAGUAUCUUAAAGCAAGAGACAUUAGGUUACUUACCAUUUCUCUUAAAGUGAGAAGGUUCGGGCUUCCCUGGUGGCUCAGUGGUUGAGAGUCUGCCUGCUGAUGCAGGGGACACGGGUUCGUGCCCUGGUCCAGGAAGAUCCCACAUGCCGCGGAGCAGCUGGGCCCAUGAGCCAUGGCCGCUGAGCCUGCGCGUCUGGAGCCUGUGCUCUGCAACGGGAGAGGCCACAACAGUGAG